CGGGGGGCGGCUAAACAUGCAGUCGAACGGUAACAGGAAGCAGCUUGCUGCUUCGCUGACGAGUGGCGGACGGGUGAGUAAUGUCUGGGAAACUGCCUGAUGGAGGGGGAUAACUACUGGAAACGGUAGCUAAUACCGCAUAACGUCGCAAGACCAAAGAGGGGGACCUUCGGGCCUCUUGCCAUCGGAUGUGCCCAGAUGGGAUUAGCUAGUAGGUGGGGUAACGGCUCACCUAGGCGACGAUCCCUAGCUGGUCUGAGAGGAUGACCAGCCACACUGGAACUGAGACACGGUCCAGACUCCUACGGGAGGCAGCAGUGGGGAAUAUUGCACAAUGGGCGCAAGCCUGAUGCAGCCAUGCCGCGUGUAUGAAGAAGGCCUUCGGGUUGUAAAGUACUUUCAGCGGGGAGGAAGGCGAUAAGGUUAAUAACCUUGUCGAUUGACGUUACCCGCAGAAGAAGCACCGGCUAACUCCGUGCCAGCAGCCGCGGUAAUACGGAGGGUGCAAGCGUUAAUCGGAAUUACUGGGCGUAAAGCGCACGCAGGCGGUCUGUCAAGUCGGAUGUGAAAUCCCCGGGCUCAACCUGGGAACUGCAUUCGAAACUGGCAGGCUAGAGUCUUGUAGAGGGGGGUAGAAUUCCAGGUGUAGCGGUGAAAUGCGUAGAGAUCUGGAGGAAUACCGGUGGCGAAGGCGGCCCCCUGGACAAAGACUGACGCUCAGGUGCGAAAGCGUGGGGAGCAAACAGGAUUAGAUACCCAGGGUAGUCCCC
rnacentral:rRNA from 1 species